GUAACAUUUUAACGGUCGCUUUAGCGGCAGAAACAGUGAAGAAAGGCCGUUCCCAUUCUCCGCAUUAUCAUUUCCCCGUGUUCCCGUGACAGUUAAAAAGCCCAGAAGGCGUGGUCGCAUUGAAUGUGCGUCCAUACCGCGAAACCAACCGUCACCGGCGCUCCAGCAAUGUGGCCGGAAACCGAAUAAUCGCCGCCGUUCCUCAUCCAAUUCCGGCCACCACUUGAACACAAGAUUCAACAAUGGCUCACGCCACAAAGCAAACGCAGAACACAAAGCAGAGGGUCCUCACGUGCUUGACGAAGCUAUCGGACCGCGAUACACAGGCUGCAGGAGCCACCGAACUUGAGUCCAUUGCUCGUAGCCUGGACCCGCACUCUGUUCCCGUGUUCCUCUCCUGCAUUCACUCCACCGACGCCUCCGACAAAACCCCUGUCCGCAAACAAUGUGUGCACAUCGUGGCAACGCUCUCCCACGCGCAUGGCGACGCGCUCUCGCCUUUCCUCUCCAGAAUCCUAACCAACCUCGUGCGCCGCCUCCGCGACCCCGACUCCUCCGUGCGGGCCGCCUGCGCCGACUCCGUCGGCGCGCUGUCGGCGCGUGUCACUCGGCAGCCGUUCUCCUCCUUCCUGAAGCCGCUGGCGGAGGCGCUCUUCACAGAGCAGGACCCCAACUCGCAGGCAGCCGCGGCGCUCUGUCUCGCCUCCGCCGUCGACGGAGCUCCGGAUCCGGACCCCGCCAGGCUUGCCAGGCUGCUCCCGAGGUUUGAGAAGCUCCUCAAGAGUAAGGUGUUCAGGGCCAAGCCCGCUCUGCUGGCGCUCGUCGGAAGUGUCGUGGAGGCGGGCGGGGCAUCGAGUCGCAGCGCGUUGAGGAAUUUGGUUCCCUGCCUUGUGGAGGCGCUUGGCAGCGUGGACUGGGCCACGAGGAAGGGCGCGGCGGAGGCAUUGAGGAGGCUUGCCGUCGCCGAGAGGGACCUCCUGUCGGAGUUCAAGGGUGGAUGUUUCAGAGCGCUCGAGGAUCGACGAUUUGAUAAGGUAAAGUUGGUUCGGGAAGUUGUGAAUCAGAUGUUGGAGGCGUGGAAGCAGAUUCCUGAUGUCUCGGAUGAGUUCUCUCCACCUCCUCAUUCUCAGUCUUCUGCUAAAGAGAAUGCAAGUGAUGGGCGCUAUCCUCCUGUUUCUCAAAAUUCAUGUAGUCCGGGUUCUGUUAUGAGUAAAUUGAGGAAGAAAUCAAGCCCAAUUAGCAAAUCAACUCCACAGGAUAGAUCUCUUGCCAGAAAUGCUAAAAGGUUGAGUGCCUUAAGUGGUGACCGGAUGAAUUCAGGUGUUUUGCAGAAACUGAACCAUAACCAUUGGGAUGUUAGAAUUGCUGUGUCAAAUCUUCCUGAUCGUGGUGAAUGUCAGCCGAGGGAUGAAAAUGUAUUGGAAAGCAGCAAAAAGGAUAAAAGCAGAUUUUUCAAGUCAGAAACAAAACGGGCUCUAUUUGAGAAAAAUUCUGAUGACAAGAUGCAUAAAUUUGGUGGGUCUAAAGCUGGAUCUCGCGUGGUUCCUUGUUCAGAAGAGAAUCAAGACUCAGAUCCUGCCUGUAAUGUAGCGAAGGAUCUUCCUAGGAAUGACAAAGAGAGUGAGGAGUUAUCUCUGAUUCGUGCCCAGUUAGUUCAAAUUGAGAAGCAGCAGUCAAGUCUGUUUGAUCUUCUACAGAAAUUCAUUGGGAGCUCUGAAAAUGGAAUGCGUUCUCUAGAGACUCGUGUGCAUGGCCUCGAGUUGGCAUUGGAUGAUAUAUCUUAUGAUUUGGCUGUAACUAGUGGAAGGAUAACUAAAUCUGAUGCUCCCAAGAAUACAUGCUGUCUGCUACCUGGUGCCGAAUUUUUAAGCUCCAAAUUCUGGAAGAAAACACAGAUCAGGUAUUCAUUCAACCGUUUCUCUAGAACUGGUAGCACUCCAUUACUAGCUUCCAGUUAUUACAGAGCUAAUAGGGACACCGAAUCGAGUACGGCAAGCCACAGGUUGAGGGUCCGUGGUGAUGGAAGCUUCAUCACAAAUCCCCUGGCAGAGAUUAAAAUUAAUUCAAGGGAAAUUUCGGGCUCUGCAAGAUCAGAGCUAGCUUGAAAAGCAGGUUAGCUUUCUAAAUUCGGUAGUUUGUAAUCACCAUUGAGAAUGACCUUAUGCGUGGGUGUUAGGAAAUGCUAGAUCCCUUCCUCAUGCUUUUGCAUAAAUUUUAUUAAGCCAUCACAAUUUGGCCCAACACAAUUGGGUCCAUGGAUGAGAAAGUCAAAUUUACUAUUAAAAUAAGAUUACAAGAUGUUUGCAGGGCACUUUCAAUUUUCUCAAUGUACAGCUACAUCAUUUCCUCAAUGUACCUCCCGCUAUCCUUGGGUCCGAACAACUUGUGAAGGAAUGCUGAAAGUAAAUAAGCUACGGAUUUAGGGGUAUGUGAUGAUGGGGGCUUCAUCACUAAACCUCAGAUUAACAAAAACUCAGUGGGAUUUCUUUCCUUUCGAGAAGAAUCUACUUAAAAAGUAGGUUUGCAUGCUUCGUGUACCAAUAUAUACCUCCAUAUACUAGACAAUCUCCAUGGCUUGGUAUCGGAAAGCAUCAUAAUUCAUGUCUCCUAUAGUCACAUGCUUGGUAAUUAAGGAAAAGCAUUUCACGCGAUAUGUAUAUGGAUCUCUUAUAAGGGAUUCUUUCCUUCUCAUGAAUGUUAUGCUUCAAAUCAUUCAAUAUUAGGAAGAUAAUUUAUGUCUAAUUUAUCUUCA